CCAUGGGAUGAGCUGUGGAUAGCGGAGAAAUUCCAAUCGAACUCGGAGAUAGCUGGUUCUCCUCGAAAUAGCUUUAGGGCUAGCGUCGGGUAAUUGAGUAGUGGAGGUAGAGCACUGAAUGGGCUAGGGGCUGACAACAGUUACUGAACCCUAUCAAACUCCGAAUGCCAUAUACUUGUACCCCGGCAGUCAGACUACGAAUGAUAAGAUCCGUGGUCAAAAGGGAAACAGCCCAGACCAUCAGCUAAGGUCCCAAAGUGUAAGUUAAGUGGGAAAGGAUGUGGGAUUUCUAAGACAACUAGGAUGUUGGCUUAGAAGCAGCCACUCAUUUAAAGAGUGCGUAAUAGCUCACUAGUCGAGAGAUCCUGCGCCGAAGAUGUAACGGGGCUCAAACUUACCACCGAAGCUAUGGAUGUGUACUAUGUACACGUGGUAGAGGAGCUUUCUGUACAGGUUGAAGUCAUACCGUAAGGAGUGGUGGACAGUACAGAAGUGAGAAUGCUGGCAUAAGUAGCGAAAAACAAGUGAGAAUCUUGUUGACCGAAUAUCUAAGGUUUCCUGGGGAAGGCUCGUCCUCCCAGGGUUAGUCGGGACCUAAGCCGAGGCCGAAAGGCGUAGGUGAUGGACAACUGGUUGAUAUUCCAGUACCACCAUAAUGCGUUUGACAAAUGGGAUGACGCAGGAGGAUAGGAUGUGCGCACUAUUGGAUGUGCGUCUAAGCACUUAGGGUGUUAAGUAGGCAAAUCCGCUUAACAUUAAGCCUGAGGUGUGAUGGGGAGCCUAUUUUGGCGAAGUAUCUGAUUCCACGCUGCCAAGAAAAGUCUCUAUGGAGCAAAAUGG
rnacentral:rRNA from 1 species